rnacentral:rRNA from 1 species
UAAUUGAAGAGUUUGAUCAUGGCUCAGAUUGAACGCUGGCGGCAGGCCUAACACAUGCAAGUCGAGCGGUAACAGGAGAAAGCUUGCUUUCUUGCUGACGAGCGGCGGACGGGUGAGUAAUGUAUGGGGAUCUGCCCGAUAGAGGGGGAUAACUACUGGAAA